UGCAUAUCAAAAAGCGGAGGAAAAGAAACUAACAAGGAUUCCCCUAGUAGCGGCGAGCGAAGCGGGAAGAGCUCAAAUUUAUAAUCUGGCACCUUCGGUGUCCGAGUUGUAAUCUCUAGAAAUGUUUUCCGCGUUGGACCGCACACAAGUCUGUUGGAAUACAGCGGCAUAGUGGUGAGACCCCCGUAUAUGGUGCGGACGCCCAGCGCUUUGUGAUACAUUUUCGAAGAGUCGAGUUGUUUGGGAAUGCAGCUCAAAUUGGGUGGUAAAUUCCAUCUAAAGCUAAAUAUUGGCGAGAGACCGAUAGCGAACAAGUACCGUGAGGGAAAGAUGAAAAGCACUUUGGAAAGAGAGUUAACAGUACGUGAAAUUGUUGGAAGGGAAACGCUUGAAGUCAGACUUGCUUGCCGAGCAAUCGGUUUGCAGGCCAGCAUCAGUUUUCCGGGAUGGAUAAUGGUAAAGAGAAGGUAGCAGUUUCGGCUGUGUUAUAGCUCUCUACUGGAUACAUCCUGGGGGACUGAGGAACGCAGUGUGCCUUUGGCGGGGGUUUCGACCUCUUCACACUUAGGAUGCUGGUGGAAUGGCUUUAAACGACCCGUCUUGAAC
rnacentral:rRNA from 1 species